rnacentral:lncRNA from 1 species
GGGGGGCGCCCAAGGAGCCCUGGCCCCGGGAGUGGGAGUCAGCGGGUGGGAACAGAUCGCCCUUCCUUUCCGCUGGGAAUUGGGGGACUCCCCCUGCUUUCACUCUCCCAGCCCGCCAUGGGGUUGGGCCUUGUCCUUUGCCUUGGGUUUGAAGGCGGAGACAAAAAAGGCUGUCCAAAAUCCAGCCAGCUUGGGAGGCAUGGUUGAUGCGAGUUAGCAAAGAUUCUCGACUGUGGGAGGACUGGAAGCAACCAUAGUUUAUAUUUCUCCUUCUUUCUCGCUUUAUAAGGUGUUGCUAAAAGCCUCCAGUGAAUGAAUGAACACUUGUGUGCCUGCCCUCAAGGAGCCUGCACUACACUUGGAGAUAUAUACAGAAACCUGUUGAGGGCUAACUUAGGUUGGCAAGGCCCCCAGUGGCCAAGGCAUGAGCCUGGAUGCCCUGCAAAUUGAGUACGUGUUAGGGAUGGGGGCCAUUCUUUAUAGUUUGACUCUGGAGAGCUAGGACCACCUUUCCCAGCCUCAGGGGUGCACAUCCUCAGGAGCUGCCUACCUCCAGAUAUUGUAAGUCCAUGCAGAAGAGGAAGGGCCCAGCUGGGGCACCUCUUGGUUGAGGAAUGAGUAUGUGACAUUUUCAUGUGGGCACAUUUUGA